UGCGUGAGACCUUUGGCGGCAUCAGUUUUCAUUGCUGGCUGAUGUCCGCCC
rnacentral:antisense_RNA from 1 species